AUUGAACGCUGGCGGCAGGCCUAACACAUGCAAGUCGAGCGAGCGGCGGACGGGUGAGUAAUGUCUGGGGAUCUGCCUGAUGGAGGGGGAUAACUACUGGAAACGGUGGCUAAUACCGCAUACUAUCAGAUGAACCCAUAUGGGAUUAGCUAGUCGGUGGGGUAACGGCUCACCUAGGCGACGAUCCCUAGCUGGUCUGAGAGGAUGAUCAGCCACACGGGGACUGAGACACGGCCCAGACUCCUACGGGAGGCAGCAGUGGGGAAUAUUGCACAAUGGGCGAAAGCCUGAUGCAGCCAUGCCGCGUGUAUGAAGAAGGCCUUCGGGUUGUAAAGUACUUUCAGUUGGGAGGCGUUACCAGCAGAAGAAGCACCGGCUAACUCCGUGCCAGCAGCCGCGGUAAUUC
rnacentral:rRNA from 1 species